rnacentral:lncRNA from 1 species
AGGAGGAGGAGGAGGAGGAGGAACUCAGCAUCCAGGCAAAGCGGGUUGAGCAGCAGUCGAGGAUCCAAAGACGGUGAAGUGAGGUGAUCUGAAAAAAACUGAUGCCUUCAAGAAUUAUUUGCAGUGUUUAUAUGUUAUUGUAUGAUCCAAGAGAGGAAGGAGAAGAGUAGCUUUUCACUUGUCAGAUGGAUUUCAUUGCAAAGCUAUAGAGGAGUAUGAGUAGGAGGAGAGGCUUCUUGCAUCCUAUUUGAGGAGGAGGAGAAGUUUCUUGCUUCCUGAGCAAUCCAUGCUUUUGAUCUUCUUAGACAAUCUAUUUGAGGAGGAGGAGGAGGAGAAGGAGAGGCUUUCUUCAUCCUGAAGGAUAAGGUAUUGGAUGAUCAAAUCCAGUAUUUCUGUAGCAAAUGGAAGAAACACUAACCCCAACCCGAAUCCUACCUGUAGGGCUGCCUUCUGAAGUUUCCAGGCAAUUACCGUCUGAGAAAAGGGAAUGAUGCCACCGCCACUGCGAACCUGCAGCCGGCACCACACUCCUCGAUCCUCCCGUCACCGACCACCACCAACAGCUCCAAGCUGGGGAGUCUCC